rnacentral:rRNA from 1 species
CUACGUGCCAGCAGCCGCGGUAAUACGGAGGGUCCGGGCGUUAUCCGGAUUUAUUGGGUUUAAAGGGAGCGUAGGCGGAUUGUUAAGUCAGCGGUUAAAGGGUGUGGCUCAACCAUGCAUUGCCGUUGAAACUGGCGAUCUUGAGUGCAGACAGGGAUGCCGGAAUUCGUGGUGUAGCGGUGAAAUGCUUAGAUAUCACGAAGAACUCCGAUUGCGAAGGCAGCUGACGGGAGCGCAACUGACGCUUAAGCUCGAAGGUGCGGGUAUCGAACAGGAUUAGAUACCCUGGUAGUCCGCACAGUAAACGAUGGAUGCCCGCUGUUGGUACCUGGUAUCAGCGGCUAAGCGAAAGCAUUAAGCAUCCCACCUGGGGAGUACGCCGGCAACGGUGAAACUCAAAGGAAUUGACGGGGGCCCGCACAAGCGGAGGAACAUGUGGUUUAAUUCGAUGAUACGCGAGGAACCUUACCCGGGCU